rnacentral:sRNA from 1 species
UGGUCAUGUAGGCCUCCUCUUCCCCAGUUCGACCUGGGUCUUGCUGUGUAUUACACAACACCUCCCUCUCCUCUGAGCUUCUUUAUCCUCGCCAGCUCAGCUUUUCUGUACCUCUCCCUACAGGCCAACUGUAUGGGCUGGAGAAGUUCUGGGCCUUCUUGAAAUAUUCCAAAGCCAAAAAUUUGGACAUUGACCCCAAACUGCAAGAAUACCUCGGCAAAUUCCGACGUCUUGAAGACUUCCGAGUAGAUCCCCCCAUGGGUGAGGAGGGCAACCACAAGCGAC